UGGAGCACACGGCCCUCUCCCCGCCUCAUCAGGCAUCCCAGCAGAUGUGCCAAGGUCGGUCCCCGCUCCGAGGAUUCUUCUGUGAGCAGCAAAAGGAAGCAUUUGAACACUGCUGCUACUGCAAGUGCAGGGUUGGGGUGGGGGGAGGUAAGGGCGAGGCUUUUUGUGAAUAUCUGAGCCUUGUCCUCUCCAGUGAAGAGAGAAGUUAUCCCGGAGGGCCUUGGAGAGCAGGGCUUGAUUUUGAGGAUUUGGUCCCACACGGUGAUGGGAGCUGGUUAAACAGUUUGUGGGAAGCCGUUGCAUCCGUGUCUGGGCUUGAAAUCAACAGGGCCAGCAGUCGAGAAAGAAAGACAGACAUCAGCUGGAGGGCAAGGGCAAACAGAAUCCGAGCUGGACCACACAAGGACUUGUGGAUCCAUGUCCAUCUCUCAACCCCUCAUAGUCUCCAGCUUCGAAGAUGUGCGUGCCCUGCUGGAGAAGCUGAGGUCCUGUGUCCCAGAGCUCAACAUGCUCCUGGCCCAAGAGGUGGGGAAGCAGGGGAGGAGAGCUGGUGAGAGGAGCUUCUGUCCAGGUGCUGCCCCGCAUCACCCCGGUGAGACUGCAGACCAGCAACUACAUGCAUGCACCCCGACAGCCCAGAGGACCAGUGCUGACCUUCUGAACCCAGACAGAAUCUGGCUGCUGCUGCUUCCCUUCUGCCUUCCAAAGCUCAUGUAAAAUGCCUUUUGGGGCCCAAGCUAAUUAUGCAGGGAAAGGAAUUCUGGGAAACAUAAUUCCAGUUGAGCUAAAUUCACUCAGUACAAAUACGCCACAGCAGCCCCACCGCCAUGAUAUAUUGACCUCAAUAUCUUUUCUCUUUUGAAUUACCUAGCAUGCAUUUUGGGCCUGAAGAUGGCUUCCUCGGUCGCCAAGUGACUUAGAACUUUAGAGUAAAUGUCAUAUUUUAAAAUAAAUACUUUUGCUUUCCAUGUUUUGAAAAA